rnacentral:rRNA from 1 species
UACAGAGGUCUCAAGCGUUGUUCGGAUUCAUUGGGCGUAAAGGGUGCGUAGGUGGCGCUGUAAGUCGGGUGUGAAAUUUCGGAGCUUAACUCCGAAACUGCAUUCGAUACUGCGGUGCUUUGAGGACUGGAGAGGAGACUGGAAUUCAUGGUGUAGCAGUGAAAUGCGUAGAGAUCAUGAGGAAGACCAGUGGCGAAGGCGGGUCGUCUGGACAGUUCCUGACACUGAGGCACGAAGGCCAGGGGAGCAAACGGG